rnacentral:rRNA from 1 species
GCAAGUCGAACGGUAACAGGGAGAAGCUUGCUUUUCCGCUGACGAGUGGCGCACGGGUGCGUAACGCGUAUACAAUCUACCUUUUACAGGGGGAUAGCCUUUAGAAAUGAAGAUUAACACCCCAUAGUAUCCGAGUAUCGCAUGGUGCACGGAUUAAAAUUUCGGUGGUAAAAGAUGAGUAUGCGUUCUAUUAGCUAGAUGGUGUGGUAACGGCACACCAUGGCAACGAUAGAUAGGGGCCCUGAGAGGGGGAUC